rnacentral:rRNA from 1 species
AGUUACUAGUAAUCGUAGAUCAGAAUGCUGCGGUGAAUGCGUUCCCGGGUCUUGUACACACCGCCCGUCACACCAUGGGAGUCGGAAAUGCCCGAAGCCGGUGACCCAGCCAAAAGGAGGGAGCCGUCGAAGGCAGGUCUGAUAACUGGGGUGAAGUCGUAACAAGGUACC